GACGAACGCUAACGGUGCGCCUAAUACAUGCAAGUCGAACGAGCGAUGUAGAAGUGGCAACACUUUUACAAAGCAAGUGGCGAACGGGUGAGUAACGCGUAGGUAAUCUGCCUUGGAGAUUGGGACAACCAUUCGAAAGAAUGGCUAAUACCAAAUACCUUAUAUUAAUCGCAUGAUUUUUAUAAUAAAGGGGGGCUUUUAGCUCUCGCUUCAAGAUGAACCUGCGUCCUAUUAGCUUGUUGGUGAGGUAGAAGCUCACCAAGGCAACGAUGGGUAGCCGGCCUGAGAGGGUGAUCGGCCACACUGGGACUGAGAUACGGCCCAGACUCCUACGGGAGGCAGCAGUAGGGAAUCUUGCGCAAUGGGCGAAAGCCUGACGCAGCGACACCGUGUGAAGGAUGAAGGCCUUCGGGUUGUAAACUUCUGUCAAUUGGGGACGAAGGUAGUAGGGUUAAUACCCCGAAUACUGACGGUACCCAAUAAGGAAGUCUCGGCUAACUCCGUGCCAGCAGCCGCGGUAAGACGGAGGAGGCAAGCGUUGUCCGGAAUCAUUGGGCGUAAAGAGCGCGUAGGCUGUUUUUCAAGUCAUAUGUGAAAACCUCAGGCUUAACUUGAGGACUGCAUAUGAAACUGGAAAACUUGAGUGCAGUAGGGGAAAGUGGAAUUUCCUGGUGUAGCGGUGAAAUGCGCAGAUAUCAGGAAGAAACACCGGUAGCGAAGGCGGCUUUCUGGGCUGCUACUGACGCUGAGGCGCGAAAGCUAGGGGAGCAAACAGGAUUAGAUACCCUGGUAGUCCUAGCUGUAAACGAUGGACACUAGGUGUGGGGAGUUAUCGACGCUUUCCGUGCCGGAGCUAACGCAUUAAGUGUCCCGCCUGGGGAGUACGGUCGCAAGACUAAAACUCAAAGGAAUUGACGGGGGCCCGCACAAGCGGCGGAGCAUGUGGCUUAAUUCGACGCAGCGCGAAGAACCUUACCAAGGCUUGACAUCAUAUUGACGAUUAUAGAAAUAUAAUUUCUCUUCGGAGCAAUAUGACAGGUGGUGCAUGGCUGUCGUCAGCUCGUGUCGUGAGAUGUUGGGUUAAGUCCCGCAACGAGCGCAACCCUUAUCCCAUGUUGCUAACAGUUCGGCUGAGCACUCUUGGGAGACUGCCAGCGUAAAGCUGGAGGAAGGUGGGGAUGACGUCAAGUCAUCAUGCCCUUUAUGCCUUGGGCCGCACACGUGCUACAAUGGACCGUACAAAGAGCAGCGAUACUGUGAAGUGGAGCAAAUCUGUUAAAGCGGUUCAAAGUCCGGAUUGAAGGCUGAAAUUCGCCUUCAUGAAGUAGGAGUCGCUAGUAAUCGUGGAUCAGAACGCCACGGUGAAUACGUUCCCGGGCCUUGUACACACCGCCCGUCACACCACGAAAGUUGGAUACGCCCAAAGAUAGUAUACUAACCGGCAACGGAGGAAACUAUUUAAGGUGGAGCCAGUGAUUGGGGUG
rnacentral:rRNA from 1 species